rnacentral:lncRNA from 1 species
UUUGGCCAACACAAAUUGCUGAAACCAAUUAGAGGUUUACAACUGUCCCACUUCUAUUAAAAAGAUGUUGUUAGGGGGAUGUGAGAGAAUAAUAUUCUCUCAUUCUAUUUUCAGCACAUGGCAGUGCGUGACCUAUAAGUAAAACCACUCCCUCACUCCUUAGGCAGAGAUUUUCAGAUCAAAUAAUUCCCUAAAAUGUUCAGCUUAAUAUUACAUUGAGGGCUGAUCCCUUUUUCUGAUUUAAGACGAACAAUAGUUAGAAAAUUGCUAAAAAUUUCUGGUUUUGGGAAAAGUGAAAAAAAAAUGGAAUGAAUUGGAAGCUGGGGUUUGCUCUUGUUGAUUGCUGAUUCUUGCUGAUCUUUCUGCUGCUUCCUUCAUUCUCAAAGAUUUCUUAUCUUCCUUCUUUUUUCUUUUGUAACCAGGUAUUCUUCGAAUCAUGAAUAACAAAUGGAGUGCAAGUGUAUUCAUCCUUUAAAAGCUGUGUUAUGCGACUUAAAGAAUAUUGUUUAGUCUUUGAAUUGAAGUAUUUACUAUACAUAUACUAUUUUUCGAGUUAUAUAACUUUCCCCUCCAUAAUGUUGUUUCAAUUUUUGGUUAUGAAGCAUUUUAGACUUGUUUAGUUAAGAGCUUUUGUAAAUGGGUAUUAAAUUAGCUCAUAUAUGCUGUGUUUUGUUCAGAGGUUGAUGUGUUAAAUUGUCACAAUGGAUUUUUGAUUAAAGCAUGUUGUCAGAUGUUGCUCUUGUUUUCAUUUUAGUUUUUUCUUUCAUGUUUCUUUUAAGCCAUCAGCUUUCUUUUUCUUCCUUCUCUGUUAUUUCUGUCUAGAUGUGAUAAAUCUAUUGUGAUAGUCAUUACCUAGUAGAUUGAUUCAGUGUCAGAUGUUCAACAGUUCAUAUUUCAGGUAUAGAUGUAUGUGAAAAGUUCAGGACAAAGCCAUAGUUUAAAUAGCUCAUUUCUUUAUCAUUCACUGAAUUGUGGAGUUUGACUAGUAUGUCGGUUUUGGUUCAUUUCUCAAGCUUGAGGGAUUAAAUCUAGUGUCCCAACUUUAUGUACUAUUUGAAAAAAAAAAACUCUAUAUUUAAAUAAUGUCCAGAUUUGUCACCGUAGAAUUCAAACAUUGAUGUAGUAGUUAAACAUCUUACUUUUAAGGUAAUUUAUUACUGGUUUAAAGUAAUUCAAACAACAAAAGUCCAUAAUCUGGUUAUUCAUGCAAUUUCUCAGAAUUUUAUGUAUUGUUUUAUUAUUUGCGAAAGGGAAGAAAAUGUGAGUUUUAGCUAUGACCUUAGCAUGUUAGGAGCAUUCUAAUUUUAAAUUUGUUGGACCUAGUUUUGGUCGCAUGAUUUGGCCCGUUUGGGAUUCGCUUUUCUCUUAUCUUGGGCUCGAUCUCGAGCCCAAAACUCUCCAGCCUUAGUUUGUUUAAAGUUUACGAAAAAGAAUAUAAUGCGGAGUUCAUCAUAUUGUUGGGCCUGUUACUGGCCAAUCAAAAUCACUAGGAAUGUUUGCCCUUUGUUCUAAUUGUUGGGCUCAAUUUCGAGCCCAUUCCCCAUUUACUUUCGUUAAAUCAUUAGCGAGCUUGUUGUUGGCUCAGUCUUCCCAGAGUAAUCAAAGGCCCGUUAAAUUAUCCAAAUGCAUAUUUGCAACUAGUAAGUAUAGACUAAAUUUUGAUUCAAAUUAAACAUGAACCUCAUAAUUCACCUUUAUUGAACACAAUUCUCUUCAUUAAGUAAAAUGGGUGUGCCAUCAGAUCACAUAGUCUGUAGCCCUCAAAUCGGUAUCUUGAUUUAACAUAGAAGAAUAUGUCGAACAUUCAUAGUUUACUUUAGGCGCAUUAAUUAAAUAAAUUGCUAUAGCUAUGGGUACGGUUCUCGUAGUUGUGAUGCUUAAUUUUUCAAAUCCGAGGGGUACAUUUAUAUGAUCCGGCAACAAUUUAAUCUUGUUAAUAAAAUAAACAUGUUGCGAAUCGUGGGUGCGAUUCAUGUGAUAUGAUUCGCAAUGUGUAAUUAAAUAAUUAGUUGUAUGACAAUCGUGAAUUAUUGAAAGCGGUUUAAAAGGGAUAAAAACAUACAUAUGUGUUCAAAAAGGUAUUAUUUAUCAGAUAAUUAGGCCAAUAAUAAUAGUUGACUGAUCUUGCUAAAACCACGAAACUCGGAAAUGCCUAACACCUUCUCCCGAGUUAACAUAAUAUCUUACUCAAAUUUUUGUGUUUCGUGGACUGGAUAACAUAGUCAAACUUCCUCGAUUCAAAAUUUUAGGCCGGUGACUUGGGAUACCAUAAAUUAUCCCAAGUGGCGACUCUGAUCUUAAAUAAAUAAUCUCGUUCCGAUUAUUGUCACUUCAAUUGAAAAAACUUCCUUAUACCCCUUAUGUGUGUAGUAAAAAGGAGGUGUGACACAAGAACAUUCUCUCUGCUCUCUAACUCAAACAUACCCUCUACUCAGCUUUAUUGCUUACAUUUAUUGCUUUAUUUACAUCCGCUUUAUCUCAUUGAUGGUUCUUCAUAUACUGCUUAUUAUUGAUCAUAAUGAGCCGCAAUCACAACCCUAUAGCUAUUAAUCCCCUCUCAAACGCCCUUAGCGGAGUAUCAAAUUCGACCUCAAGGCCCGUAUACAUCAGCUUGAGGCCCCGAUUUCCAGUCCUUUAGUUUGAUUAUUAUAUUAUCUACAAACUCUUACCUCAUCUUCUUAUCUCUUAUUUAGUAUUUAUUGUCUAAAUUACAGGCAUAAAAAUAAAUUACAUAUUUUUAAAAUUACAAAAUUAAAUUAAAUUUUAAUUACCAUUUUCAAAGUAAAUAUUCUAAUAGAAAAAAGUUUCUUUCUAAGAAAAUCUUGAUAAACAGUUGUAUCAUUCGAAAGGACAUGCUUUAAUUGAGUUACGUCAUAGUAUAGGCUAUGGAUAGAUGGUUUAGGGUGGAAAUAACCCUUCCACUAGUUGGAAGCCGUUAGAGCCACAGGGCUCAGCUUAAGGGGGUUCCGGUCAUAUUGAUUGUGUUGAGAGUGAACCAUUGUUGUAGCGAUGAUGACAUAAAUGAGUUAUAAUCAAUAGGUAAUUGUUGGUUGAAUCUCAAUUCAUCCGAAAUUUUCCAAUUUCAUGGUAGGGUAGGUCUAAGGCCAAGCUCUAGUUGUCACUUUAUCAUUUGUCUUUUGAAGAUGCAUUCAAGGUACUUUAUGUGUAAAUCUGUGUCUUAAAAGGUAUGGGGGAGUCGUUUUAUAUAUACCUUAUCAGCAAGGCGUAACUCCAUGAAUAUUUAAUUUUUAAUAUUUUAUAAAAUAAUAUAAUUAUAAUAAAUAUUUAUAAACAGAUAAAAUUAUAUAAUAAUAGAAGAAAACUAUAAAUAUGUGAUAUAUAUAUAUAUAUAUAUCCUAAAAAAACCAGUCAAAACAAUCUAUCAUGUUACUUAUAAACACAAGUAACUUGAGGCGAAACGAAUAAAGUUUUUUACAUGCAGGAACAAAAAGUAUGACUAACCUGCAAUUUGAUUUUUUAAUUUGUUGCUAUGAAAGAGAAUGAAGUUAUCUUUGUAUUCGUUAAAAUAAAAAAAGAAUAUUCGGUUCUUUUUGUAGAUAUUGCAGACUAACAGACAAGAUAAAGAAUUGAGAAAAACCAUAAAUUAGGGUUUCAAUCAAUAAAAGAGUCUUGAUUUAUAAAUAAAACAUUUCAAUUCAUUUUUAAAACUUUUGAGUAAUUACAGGAUGAACUUUUGAGAAUUUGGGUAUUAUAUGAAGGACUUCUUCAAUAAAUUUUAUUUUAAUUUGAAAAAGUCUUUGGGCCUUAUGCCUCACUACCAAAAACUCACCUCAAACGCCCGGGCGUACUCCCCAAAUUGCUGAGCGUACGCCUCUUGAGACAUUCUCCCUACACCAUCGCCGCAGGACAUGUUUGGUGCGUCACGCCCUAUGGCUCGCCCUGAGGCUCACCCGAAAACGCCUUUUAAAAUAUUAGUGUAUAUAUGUGAUUUAAUUCAAUACUAAUUGAUAAACAAGGAAUCGAAUGCAAAAAUUUAAGAGUACAGUAAGUCAAACCAGUGUGCAAGCAAGUCUCGACCUCGAGCUAUGGCAACCUUGAGGUUGGUCAGCGAGAAUAAUAAAUUAUAUGGCAAUUCAGAUGAACAGUAAGUAAGAAAGUGACGUGUAUAUAUUCUUUUGUAUGAUUGAUGUUGUUACAAAUGAAUGAGCUUUCCUUUAUAUAAUAGGGGAGUCCUAAAUAAGAUACAUUUUACUUUUUCGCAUGGAAUUUUAUUGGACAGCUGUCUAACUGCCUAGUACAAAUCAGUUUCGCAAUUUGCGCCGUGAUCUUAGGGUCGCUGCGGGAAUCUCGCUCUUUAUGUUAUAAAACCACAAUGGUAUUAUCUCGAGGUUAGUCAUAUUCAAUCUCGUUGUUCAUCGAGCAUUUCAACCUUCAAGUUUUGAAAUCUGCAAUCGGGCUCGAGCCCGUUCCAUUUUAAACUUAGGUUCGAAGCAACUCUUCGAGCCUACGAAAUCGAGCGUACCUGAUUUUUACUGUAUAUACUUUAAAAAAAAGUAAACAAAUGCAAUCUAGCAUCAUUUAUCCAUUACAUUUCCAUAUAUGAAAGUACUAAUUUACAUAUCUGCCAGCAUGUCAUAAUUAGUAAUGACACGAAAAAAAUAUUCUCCUUCUUUACCCCAAAGACCACGCCAAAUAAAGAAGGGAAAAAAGAAAGGAAAAACAAAUUAAUAAAAGGUUAUCCGAAAUCAGUUCAAAUAGUAGCAACUAGCUAGUGAUGAUAUGGAGAAGUUUGUUAAAUUCUAUUUUUUCUCUUUUGCAGAAAUCUUUGCAGAGAUCUCUUCAUGGAAAGACCAGUUUGAGAUUGUAACAAUGGUGAUGAUGAUUCUGAAAUUUGUGAUGAAG